GCAAACCAUUUCCUCUGCUAGAAAAAGACUCUUCGUUGACUGUAAAUAUACUUUAUGAAAUCUAAAUGGAUUUAAACAACAUUCAUUUUAAGGGGCUGAUUCACUGGCUAGUUUAGUCUUCCUGUAGGUACUGAAUGUGCGCGUAUGAUAUUGCUUUAUUGUCUUCAACUCAUCACAUUACGCCAUCACAAAAUAAGCCAUUUCUUCCAGCGGUGCACCUGUUCCGCAAGUAUUUGAUUUGAUGCUGUUUUUAUUUUUAUUUUUUGUAAUCGACCUGCAAUGGCACAGGCUUGAAAAUGUCAAUCCUGCCAGGACAUUGAGCUUUCGACGCGCGCAUGACCUUGCUAAUACCCAAUUCGCAUCUCAGGUUUAAUCUUAUCCACUGUAAACAUAAAGCGGUUUUCACACGAGGGCGGCGUUCAUCUCGGCGAUGACGUCACGAGGCAGGUCUCGCUCGAGUCCACCAAUGAGACGAGGCAGCUCGGUUCUUUUGGGGCACAUCGCAAUGAAUGGGUGUCGGUGCUUUACAAGGCAAAGGAGCAACCACAACAAGACGCGGAUAUUGAGGGGAUGCGGCAUCGGCACGCGGGAGCUGUCCACCAGCAGCACAGCAACGACGCGGACGCUCGUGACAGUCCAAAAGAAGCAUCUUGUCCAGUCGCCCCGCUCUUUAGUCUGCCGCCCCCACCGCCAUCGAUAAAGGAGCGAUCCACCUCCUCACAUAACAACCGACAUGUACAGUCCUGUCCGGACCGCGGCACCAGGAACGACGAGUGCCUGCCUUUGACCGGCCACUGCAGCCUCGCGCAGGGAGCGCGCACCGACCGUCAGCCUUACGACAACCUGCCGCAUCCGUUUCCAGGGGCCUCAUCUGGCUAUCAGUGUCAUUCAGAGGGGAGCCAUUCUCCUCAGCAGAGAUCUUCCGUUUCCCCGCAGCCCUCCCCAUCUGAACUGCUGCCGCCGCCUCUGCCUUCGCACAUUUCUAAUACGCGGGAUACGCGCCAAAAGAGUGCUAAUUACAAACAAGACAUCGUACAGCGUCGCGUCGGGGAGGGGGGGCGUCGAGACCAAUACCAGUUGCUGCAGCAACCUUGUUAUAAUCAACAAAGGGACCCCUCCUUUAAGCCACUCUUGCCAAACUCUAGUCAAGGACACGUAAAUGAGCGCGAGGAAGCCGAGAAGGAGAGGCAAUUAAUUGAGCCUCAGGCUCAGUUACUGUUGGGCAGCAGCUUGCCGAUCAACUACUGCAUCGGCGGAUCGGGGCAAGUGUGCAGAAACAAGCAGGCGCCGCUGUUGCAGCAUCAGCAUCAGCAGGCUCGCGCGCAGGAGCACAGCCUCCAGCAGCAGCACAGUGACCGAGACAGCAGGUACCAGGAGGGGAAAAUCGCGCUCUGUCAGCCGUAUCGAUGCGAGCGCGCGCUGGAGAGAAACUCGUCCGUGUCUAGUAGUGAAGCCAGCAGCCCCCCGUACGGCUCCAGCAGUCAACUGUGGCCAGAGCCCCACGACAAGGAGGAGAAGAAAAAUCGGGCUGGCAAACACAAGGCACAUGCUGAGCGAACAAAGCUGAGCCAUGCUGGAUCCAAGGCCUCCGUCUCCGAGAGCAGUCACUCACUCCCUCAGAUAGCCAUGAACAGCUGCAAGUACAAUGGAGGAGUGGUGAGACCACUGGGCAGCCUGGCGGCGUCAAGACGCAACCUGGCGGAGCAUGACUCUGAGACCCAGCCGCUCCAGACGCUGCACAGCUCCGGCCUGGAAGUGGUCGUCUCCAAGGGCGGAGGCGAAGACCCCAGCAAGGCGUCCAAUGAGAGCCUGGUCCGAGAGAGCGGCAACGCACCGCAGAAGAAGAAUAAAGAUAUUGGCUACAAACUGGGCCACAGGAGGGCACUUUUUGAGAAACGCAAGCGGCUCAGUGACUAUGCCCUGAUAUUCGGCAUGUUUGGGAUCGUUGUGAUGGUAACAGAGACUGAACUAUCCUGGGGGGUUUACACUAAGGAAUCUUCAUAUUCAUUUGCACUGAAAUGCCUUAUCAGCCUUUCCACUGUUAUUUUGCUUGGUCUUAUAAUAAUGUACCACGCUCGGGAAAUACAGCUGUUCAUGGUGGACAAUGGUGCGGAUGACUGGAGGAUAGCCAUGACAUACGAGCGCAUCUUUUUCAUUGUCCUGGAGCUGUUGGUGUGUGCCAUUCACCCCAUCCCGGGCCAGUACGUAUUCACAUGGACGGCCCGGCUGGCUUUCACCUACGUGCCCUCCGUGGCCGACGCCGACGUAGACAUCAUCCUCUCCAUCCCCAUGUUCCUUCGCCUCUACCUGAUAGGCCGGGUUAUGCUCCUUCAUAGCAAACUGUUCACGGACGCAUCUUCACGCAGUAUAGGUGCCCUCAACAAGAUCAACUUCAACACACGCUUCGUGAUGAAGACCCUCAUGACCAUCUGUCCGGGCACCGUGCUGCUGGUCUUCAGCAUCUCCUCCUGGAUCAUCGCGGCCUGGACCGUGCGGGUCUGUGAGAGGGAUGCCAUGUAUCAUGACAAACAAGAAGUCACUAGUAACUUUCUUGGAGCUAUGUGGCUAAUUUCCAUAACUUUCCUAUCAAUUGGCUAUGGAGAUAUGGUCCCUCACACAUACUGUGGAAAAGGGGUCUGCCUUCUCACAGGAAUCAUGGGAGCUGGCUGCACUGCACUUGUAGUCGCGGUAGUAGCCAGAAAGUUAGAAUUGACAAAAGCUGAGAAACACGUCCACAAUUUCAUGAUGGACACCCAACUUUGUAAACGAGUGAAGAACACAGCUGCCAAUGUACUCAGGGAAACAUGGCUCAUCUACAAACACACAAAAUUAGUGAAGAAGAUAGAUCAUGCCAAAGUGCGCAAACAUCAGCGCAAGUUCUUGCAGGCCAUUCACCAAGCUCAGAAAACCAAGCCCACAGCAAGCAAUGCCAUUCUCACAAGCAUUUUCAGCGGUGUCACAUAUACCUCUACCUCAGCUGUUUGCCACUUCCUUUGACCUCAUCCACAAACGAGGCUCUCGGAUGGCUUUUUUUGUGAAUGGUUGACGCGUGCCUGCAGGGGCAAAAGGAGAUGUGUCAUGUUUGAACGUUAAGUUAAGAGUUUUCUCUUCUUUACAUUUCAUAGAUUGGGUUUGCAUGACUGGUAUGGCAAACAGGACUGUGAAUGCUUGCAUGCAGGCCACUCUCUCUCUAUCCCUCAUCCUUAUCAAGUCUUCCUGACAGGAAUCUGUUACUCUUCCCUAACGUCCCCCUCCUCCCAACCCCCCGUCCCUCCAUAACCCUGCCUCCUCCCAGGCUCCGCAGUGUGAAAAUGGAGCAGAGGAAACUUAAUGACCAGGCCAACACUCUGGUGGACCUGGCGAAGACACAGAAUGUGAUGUAUGACCUGGUGUCAGAGCUGCAGGAGCGCAGCGAGGAGCUGGACAAGCGUAUUGGCACAUUGGAGGACAAGCUGGACGCAGUCACCGGCAGCCUGCAGGCUCUGCCCUGUCUGAUCUCCCAAGCCAUAACUCAGCAGCAGCAGGAUCUUCUGGAUGGCUUCGUGCACCGCUUCCGGCCCCCAUCACUGGGCUCAGACCGUUCCUGGACCCCAUCUAGACGGCGGCGCUCCCCCUCCACUGCCCCGCACACCUCCUCGGACAGCGGCUAACAGCGGCCUGGACAAGCUCCCCGCUUCCUAUGGUCUCAGACUUCUUCAUGUUUGAUGAUCAAGCCGAGAUGAAGAACUCGUAUUAAUAAGUAGAGAAGAUUUAUCAAAAAUAGUAGAUAUAUGGUUUAUGUUUAGCCAUUGUAUGGCUGUUCAAGUUAGCUUUUUUGUAAAGCCCUCAUAUAUUUACAAGACUGAGUUCAGGAAGCCGGAGUGAGUCCAGGAAACUGGCCCUACAAACUGCGAAAACACAGGGUCCACGGGAAGGUAAGCAAACCGACAAAGGAGCGAAGCACCCACACAGAAGAGAUUCACGGGACAUCUCUGCGAGCACCUCUUGAGUGUCUGGGUGCUCGGCGAUCACUUCAGUAUCCAGCUGGAGACGGAGGAGCACAUGACCUUACUACUGAGUAGAAUAAUGCAGGAAUGCCAACCUUAAGGAUUCAGUUCCCUUGCUCCUUCAAGGGAAAUUGGGUGCAACUAAUCUUUUUUUAGUUACAUAUUGGCAUGUUAUUUUUUUCAGUGCCUGAAUGUAUAGAUUGUGGAGGGUUGUCCAUUUACAAAUUUUGGAGCGAGUUUUUUGUACGAUGUUAACACAAGCAUUGCAUUCCUUUUUCAGAUACAUUCCUCUUGAAGACAAUUGAACUCGUCUGUCUUAACAAAUACCA